rnacentral:rRNA from 1 species
AUUGAACGCUGGCGGCAGGCCUAACACAUGCAAGUCGAGCGAGCGGCGGACGGGUGAGUAAUGUCUGGGAAACUGCCUGAUGGAGGGGGAUAACUACUGGAAACGGUAGCUAAUACCGCAUACCAUCAGAUGUGCCCAGAUGGGAUUGGCUAGUAGGUGGGGUAACGGCUCACCUAGCCGACGAUCCCUAGCUGGUCUGAGAGGAUGACCAGCAACACUGGAACUGGGACACGGUCCGGACCCCUACGGGGGGCAGCGGAGGGGAAGAUUGCACAAGGGGCGCAAGCCUGAUGAGGCCAGGCCGGGGGGGUGAAGAGGUCCUUCGGGUUGUAAAGCACGUUCAUCGGGGAGGCGUUACCCGCAGAGGAAGCACCGGCUAACUCCGUGCCAGCAGCCGCGGUAAUUC